CUUUUUAGGGCUGCACCUGGGCAUAUGGAAGUUCCCAGGCUAGGGGUCUAAUCAGAGCUAUUGCUGCCAGCCUAUGCCAGAGCCACAGCAAUGCCAGAUCCGAGCCUCAUCUGCAACCUACACCACAGCUCACAGCAAUGCCGGAUCCUUAACCCACUGAGUGAGGCCAGGGAUUGAACCUGCAACCUCAUGGGUUCUGGUCGGAUUCUUUUCCACUGCUCCAUGACGGGAACUCCUCCAGUGAGUCAUUUCAACCAAUAAAGUCAAAUCUUCUAUUAUUUGUGGAAAUUCCCCUAGAAAUAUAUCAUUAAAUGUUUAUUUUCUAAUUUUUGGUUUCUCUUUAAGGGCACUAAUUAUGGUUAAUGUAAGAUCCUUUGUUCUAUAGACACUGGUUUAUUUCUAGCCCUUAAAAUCACUUGUUUCAUUUCUUUUUGCUCAUUUAAAAAAAUUCUGCCCUGGAGUUCCUGUUGUGGCUCAGUGAGUUAAGAACCUGAGUAGUCUCCAUUAGGAUGUGGGUUUGAUCCCGGUCUCACUUAGUGGGUUAAGAAUCCAUGUUGCCACAAACUGCAGUGUAGGUCAUACAUGCAGUUUAAAUCUGGUGUGGCUGUGGCUAUGGUGUAGACAUGCAGCUGCAGCUCUGCUUUGACUCCUAGUCUGAGGACUCCCAUAUGCCGCAGGUGCAGUUGUAAAAAGGAAAAAAAAAAAUCUGUCUUUCAUAAUUUUUAUUGUAUUUUCCACAAAUAUCUAUUUUCAUAUAUGCAACUGUCAAUGGUAACAUUUUUUCUGUGAUUAUUUUAUCUUCUAAGUAUUCCUUCACUUCUGUAUUUCUCAUGCUACUUCUACAUCUGUGAUCUCAUUCUAAACCAUUGAGCUUUUAUUUCUCAGCCAUGAAUUCAUGCUUGUUUUAUUAAGUUGUGCUCAGUCAUGCUGGUGUUUUAACUCAGUAUAUCUGACCAUUGACAUGAUUUGGGGUGAGUUUUUUUAAUCCAUCUUUCCCUUUUCUCCUCUUUUCUAUGUAGUAUAUUUGCACUGACUCCUUUUUUUUAAUUACUUGCCUUCAAAUGAAAAGAAAUACUUCUUCAUCAGUAUUUCUAGAGUUCUUAUUAGAUAGACACUAGAGCAAGAUUACAAAACUAACAAGAAUUAUCCCUGGGUUAUGAUUACAUUGUCUUCAUGUCCAGGUUGAUUUAACUCUAUUUUUUCCAUUAAAAAGAGACCUCCAGCUAGAGUGCUACAUAUAACAGCUCUUGCCAUGCCACAUUUCCAGUGCACUUAUUUUUGCCCUCCCUCUUACUCCAUUGGGAAGAGGGGAAAAUGAAACCCUCUGCCUGUGAAACUCAGGCCUGUUUCACAAAAUAAAAAUUGUUGGUUUGCUCUUCAGAAUAAGAACUUUCCUCAGUCAGCUUGAUCCAAGAAUUUAGAGUCAUAAAAGCCCCUUUUAGCAUUUUUCCUACUGCUGUGGCAGCCCUUUUUAGAUAUCUGAUUAUUAAGGGUACAGAUGUCCUUAAUCAAAUGUAGAGCUUGAAUUUCUGUUUCUCAUGCCUUUUUGUUUGUUUGUUUCUAAAAAAAAGAGAAGACAACAUGAUAACAUGAGAUAUCUCUAAGCUCAUGUUAUUGAGGAAUGGCCUCAAAGUUGAGCAUGAACUAUAAGAAGCUAUAAACCAAACCAUCCUUAUAUGAGAGUUUGUGUUUACUUUAAUUACUUGCUUCCAUACUUAAGAAAACUUUAAUAUAUUUCUUUGACCUUCUUUCAUUAACCUUAGUCUAUGCCUCUACAAUAAAAUUCUAUAGGAAUUCUAUAAGUAUUCAAAGAUCAGUAUGUCAACAGUGACCCAUAGAGGACCCUCUUGUUCAGUGCAGCACAGCACCUCCUGGCUAAGAAUAUUAAUAAGCAGUCCCCAUGAAUUGAAUGGUUAUUAGAUACCAAACAUUAGGCCAUAUACUUUAUAUUCACAUCUUUGUUUAAAACUUUAAAUUGUUAUAUGAAGUAAUUAUUAUCAUUUUAUAAGAGUAGAAAAUCAAGGAUUUGAACUGUCUAGUAAUGUUACCAAAGCCAUGUAGGAAUUAAGUGGCUUAGAGCCAGAAUUAAAACUCCGCUAUAUUCCAAAGCCUGUAAUCCCCAUCAUUUGGUCUAUAGGAUAUCGAAAUACUUUUUAACCAUUUUCAGAGUUACUUCCAUUAUUCCAGGGAAACGAAUCUGACUAGUAUACCAUGAGGAUGCAGAUUCAAUUCCUGGCCUCACUCAGUGGGUAGGGGAUCCAGUGUUGCAGUUCUCAGACACAGCUCAGAUCCCAUGUUGCCAUGGCUGUGGUGUAGGCCAGCAGCUGUAGCUCAGAUUUGACCCCUAGCC
rnacentral:lncRNA from 1 species